rnacentral:lncRNA from 1 species
CGAGAUUGUAAAAAAAAGUCGAAAAAAAUUCGAAAAAAAAUUCGAAUAAAAAAAGUUUGUAUUCAAUUUACUUUUCCUUUUUGUAUUUAGUAUUGAAAAACAAAUAGAAAAAAAAUUUGGAAUUAAAAAAAAAGAAGAGAAGAGGUCAUAGUUGGAUUGUAAAAGCAUUGCUUGUUGCCCGAAGGAUCUUAUCUAUAUAGCCACAC